rnacentral:tRNA from 1 species
GAGUCGUUAGCUCAGUUGGUAGAGCAUCGGACUUUUAAUCCGAGGGUCUGGGGUUCAAGUCCCCAACGACUCACCA